GACGAACGCUGGCGGCGUGCCUAACACAUGCAAGUCGAACGGAAAGGCCCUGCUUUUGUGGGGUGCUCGAGUGGCGAACGGGUGAGUAACACGUGAGUAACCUGCCCUUGACUUUGGGAUAACUUCAGGAAACUGGGGCUAAUACCGGAUAGGAGCUCCUGCUGCAUGGUGGGGGUUGGAAAGUUUCGGCGGUUGGGGAUGGACUCGCGGCUUAUCAGCUUGUUGGUGGGGUAGUGGCUUACCAAGGCUUUGACGGGUAGCCGGCCUGAGAGGGUGACCGGCCACAUGGGGACUGAGAUACGGCCCAGACUCCUACGGGAGGCAGCAGUGGGGAAUAUUGCACAAUGGGCGGAAGCCUGAUGCAGCAACGCCGCGUGCGGGAUGACGGCCUUCGGGUUGUAAACCGCUUUCGCCUGUGACGAAGCGUGAGUGACGGUAAUGGGUAAAGAAGCACCGGCGAACUACGU
rnacentral:rRNA from 1 species